GCUGAAAUUGAUAAGAUAGAAGCAAAGAAAACAAUACAAAAAAAAUCAAGGAAACAAAAAGUUGGUUCUUUGAAAAAAAAUCAACAAAUAGAACAAACCCUUAACCAAGCUAAAAGGCAAAGAAAGAAUAUUCAAAUUAACAAAGUCAGAACUAAAAAGACACCGAGGAAAUCCAAAGAGUCAUUAGGUCAUACUUCAAAAACCUGUACUUCACAAAUUGUAAAAUCUAAAAGAAAUAGAUAAUUUUCUUGAUAGAUCAUGAUCAGAUAAACAGCCCAAUAGGCCUACAAUCCCUAAGAAAAUAGAAGCAGACAUUAAAAGUCUCAACCAAAAAAGGCGAAGGGCCAGAUGGUUUUGUCACAGAAUUCUACCAGAUUUUCAAAGAAGAGAUAAUACAAAUACUCCUCAAAUUAUUCCAAAAAAAAUAGAAAUAGAAGGAACAUUGCCAAAUGCAUUUUAUUAGGCCAUAAUCACUUUAAUACCAAAGACUCAAGAAAGAAAGAAAAAAAAAGUUUCAGACCAAUUUCCCUCAAGAACAUGAAUGCAAAAAUACUCAGUAAAAUACUCCCAAACUGAAUCCAAGAACACACUAAAAAGAUCGUCCAUCAUGAUCAAGUAGGAUUCAUCCUAGUGAUGGAGGGAUGGUUCAACAUGAAAAUCCAUCAAUGCAAUCCACUGUAUGAAUAAACUGAAAGAAACAAAACACAUAAUCACCUAAUUAGAUGUUGCAAAAAGCCUUCGAAAAAAUCCAACACCCCUUGGUGAUAAAAGUCUUGGAGAAAUAAAGGUUAUUAGACACAUAGCCAAACAAUAAAGGCAAUAUACAGCAAGCUGAUAUACAGCAUCAUGUUAAAUGGACAGAAACCCAAUUCCACUAUAUGGCCUUGGUCUUCCUAUAUGAUUUUCAGGCCCUGUACAUUAUCUACCUCUUGAAGUAGACAGUCUAGAGACCAGAACUAAGCAUAAGGCUUACUUCAACAUUCACCUCUUAACUAUACAAAAGAAUCAAACAAGUUUCCCUUUAAGGGGCUUCAAAGGCAUAGAAAAACCAUUUUAACAUUAAGAUGUUAUGUAGCACUGCCACCUGCUGGACAUAGUGAGGCAUCGCAGCGCGCCAACUUAACUGAGAAAGGUUGCCUAGCAGGAACACUGAGAUUUAUUGGCUGCUGGUCAAGUCCUCCACCUUUUGCUUGUUAUCUAUCCUGCAUUUAUCUUCUUCGUCUUACAGUGCUAUUAUCAGGCUAAAGACGCCAUUCCUGACCCCUUUUCUUCAACAUUGUGAACUCUACAGUGUUAUGAAGUGAUCUAAUAUGUUGAGAGAGUGUACUGGCUGGUUUUGUGUGUCAACUUGACACAAACUGGAGUUAUCACAGAGAAAGGAUCCUCCCUUGAGGAAAUGCCUCCAUGAGAUCCAGAUCAAGGGCGAGGGCCCAGCCCAUUGUAGUUAGUGCUAUUCCUGGGCUGGUAGUCCUGGGUUCUAUAAGAGAGCAAGCUGAGCAAGCCAGGGGAAGCAAGCCAGUAAAGAACAUCCCUCCAUGGCCUCUGCAUCAGCUCCUGCUCCCUGACCUGCUUGAGUUCCAGUCCUGACUUCCUUGGUGAUGAACAGCAAAGUGGAAGUGUAAGCCGAAUAAACCCUUUCCUCCCUAACUUGCUUCUUGGUCAUGAUGUUUUGUGCAGGAAUAGAAACCCUGACUAAGACAAAUCGGUAGCAGCAUAGUUGGGUAUUCCUGUGACAACCUGAUCAUGUUUUGGGGAGGACUGUGGAAGGACUUUGGAACUUUGGGCUAGAAGAUCCAUUUGUUCUUAAGAGCUCUGUGGGAGUUCCUGUAGGAGCUCGGAAGAUAAUGUUGAAAACCAUGCAGAAGAUGGAGGCCUGGUUUGUGAAAUUUCAGAGGGAUGAUUAAAGACUCUUGUUAGGGCAAUUGCUGUUUUGAUUUCGAAGAUUCUGUGGUUUUGGUUACCCGGGGCUGAAGAAUCAGCUGUGAUUAACAAAUUAGCAGAACUACUACAGCGAAAUCUUUGCAUUACUGGGACUAUUGAUAAUAGUUUUUGCUUCAUCUUAUUGUAUUUUAUUUAGUCAUGUUUGGUUGUUAUCUCUUAGAAGCCUGUUCUUAAAUCCUAUAAUCAGGAUUUGUUGUGUGAGUAAAGGAGUAUUUUCAGUAAAGAAGGAGAAAGAAAUAAAGUCAUUUCCUUCUUU
rnacentral:lncRNA from 1 species